rnacentral:rRNA from 1 species
GUGUCAGCCGCCGCGGUAGCACGUAGGAGGCAAACGUUAUCCGGAUUUACUGGGCGUAAAGCGCGUGUAGGUGGUUUGGUAAGUAGGGCGUGAAAGCUCCUGGCUCAACUGGGAGAGGACGUUCUAAACUGCCAAGCUUGAGGAUGGUAGAGGGAGGUGGAAUUCCGGGUGUAGCGGUGGAAUGCGCAGAUAUCCGGAGGAACACCAGUGGCGAAGGCGGCCUCCUGGA